rnacentral:rRNA from 1 species
UACGUAGGGCGCAAGCGUUAUCCGGAAUUAUUGGGCGUAAAGAGCUCGUAGGCGGUCUGUCGCGUCGAUCGUGAAAACUUGGGGCUUAACCCUGAGCUUGCGGUCGAUACGGGCAUGACUGGAGUUCGGCAGGGGAGACUGGAAUUCCUGGUGUAGCGGUGAAAUGCGCAGAUAUCAGGAGGAACACCGGUGGCGAAGGCGGGUCUCUGGGCCGAUACUGACGCUGAGGAGCGAAAGCGUGGGGAGCAAACAGG